rnacentral:rRNA from 1 species
UACGUAGGGGGCAAGCGUUGUCCGGAUUUAUUGGGCGUAAAGAGCGUGUAGGCGGCUUGGUAGGUCCGCUGUGAAAACUCGAGGCUCAACCUCGAGAUGUCGGCGGAAACCACUUGGCUAGAGUCCGGAAGAGGAGAGUGGAAUUCCUGGUGUAGCGGUGAAAUGCGUAGAUAUUGGGAGGAACACCAGUGGCGAAGGCGGCUCGCUGGACCGGAACUGACGCUGAGGCGCGAAAGCGUGGGGAGCAAACAGG